AUGACAAUAUCCUAUAUAUACCAUGCACCUACAGUUUGACAAACCAACCUCGACACACAAAACAUCUCAGAAACACAAGAAAAUUGUUGCGGCAAAACCAUGAGGUCGCCGCAAGCUCUCUCGCUUCUUGUUGUUGUCCUCCUCCUUGCCUCGUCCAGUGCUUCCGUCAUAGAAGACACAUGCAGGCGCUUCGAUGGCGCUGACAUCUACGAUAUCUGCAUCAAGUUCUUCAAGGCCAACAAGGAUAGCACCACCACGGACAAGCGUGGCCUUGCUGUCAUCGCCAUUGGGAUUGCCAGUGCAACAGCUGUGGACACCCGCAAGCGUGUCGCCACCCUGAAGGCCGAGGAAAAGGAUCAAAUUAUCCAGCAUGUCCUCGCCUACUGUGACAAUAUGUACUCCAGUGUUGUGGGCCUAUUUGACAAGGCUGCCAGGGGCAUCUCGUUGGGCAGGUUGGGCGACGCGGUGAUGAGCCUUAGCUCCGCACUGGACAUUCCCAAAUAUUGCGAUGACAAGUUCCUCGAGGCAGGCGUGAAGUCGCCAUUCGAUGCCGAGAACAGCGAGUUCGAGGUGCAAUGUGCAAUCACUCUGGGUGUAACGAAGAUGCUGACCAUGUAGUUAGCGAGUUGGCGAGGACAUGAAUGUGGGAAACUACAAUAAGAGUCCAUAGUAAUUUUGAUGAGUAAACUCCUCAAAAUUAAUAAGCCCACAA